rnacentral:rRNA from 1 species
ACUGGGGUGAAGUCGUAACAAGGUAGCGCUAGGGGAACCUGGCGCUGGAUCACCUCCUUACACGAUGAU